CUCCUGUGUAUGGCUCAUUGUAGGUCAUUCCAUAGGUUUUGGAUUGGGUUGAGCUUCUUCACAGAGGACAGAAGCUUCUGCCCAGCUGAAGAAAAGCAGCUCCAAAGCAUAGUGCUGCCCCCCACCAUACCACCAUGUUGAUUUUCUUGAAGCCCCCA